rnacentral:rRNA from 1 species
AUUGAACGCUGGCGGAAUGCUUUACACAUGCAAGUCGAACGGCGGCACGGACUUCGGUCUGGUGGCGAGUGGCGAACGGGUGAGUAAUGUAUCGGAACGUGCCCAGUCGUGGGGGAUAACGUAGUGAAAAUUACGCUAAUACCGCAUAUGAUCUAUGGAUGAACGCGGGGGAUCGCAAGACCUCGCGCGAUUUGAGCGGCCGAUAGCAGAUUAGGUAGUUGGUGGGGUAAAGGCCCACCAAGCCAACGAUCUGUAGCUGGUCUGAGAGGACGACCAGCCACACUGGAACUGAGACACGGUCCAGACUCCUACGGGAGGCAGCAGUGGGGAAUUUUGGACAAUGGGCGAAAGCCUGAUCCAGCCAUUCCGCGUGCAGGAUGAAGGCCCUCGGGUUGUAAACUGCUUUUGUACAGAACGAAAAGGUUUCUACUAAUACUAGGAGCUCAUGACGGUACUGUAAGAAUAAGCACCGGCUAACUACGUGCCAGCCGCCGCAGUAA